UUGAAAGCUGGCCUUCGGGUCCGCAUUGUAAUUUGUAGAGGAUGCUUUGGGUGAAACGCCAGUCUAAGUUCCUUGGAACAGGACGUCAUAGAGGGUGAGAAUCCCGUAUGUGACUGGAAAUGUUAACCUAUGUAAAGCUCCUUCGACGAGUCGAGUUGUUUGGGAAUGCAGCUCUAAAUGGGAGGUAAAUUUCUUCUAAAGCUAAAUAUUGGCGAGAGACCGAUAGCGCACAAGUAGAGUGAUCGAAAGAUGAAAAGCACUUUGGAAAGAGAGUUAAAAAGCACGUGAAAUUGUUGAAAGGGAAGCGCUUGCAAUCAGACUUGUUUAAACUGUUCGGCCGGUCUUCUGACCGGUUUACUCAGUUUGGACAGGCCAGCAUCAGUUUCGGCGGCCGGAUAAAGGCUCUGGGAAUGUGGCCUUCACUUCGGUGAAGGUGUUAUAGCCCAGGGUGUAAUACGGCCAGCCGGGACUGAGGUCCGCGCUUCGGCUAGGAUGCUGGCGUAAUGGUUGUAAGCGACCC
rnacentral:rRNA from 1 species